UCAAGAGUCUUUUCCAACACCACUGUUCAAAAGUAUCAAUUCUUCGGCACUCAGCUUUCUUUAUAGUCCAACUCUCACAUCCAUACAUGACUACUGGAAAAACCAUAGCUUUGACUAGAUGGUUUAUUUAAUUCCACUUUACUUAAUUCUAACUAAAUUUAUCCAUUUAGAGGUUUUUGUUUUUUUUAAUCAAGUUUUCCCCUUUGGCUGUUAGAUACAAACCUAAUACCUCUGGAAAAUCAAAACAUUUUCAAAAUCCUCAUUUAUAGUGCUCAGAAUCAUGGAAGAACAGGUCUUUAAGGAAACCCAAGACCCAAGUCACAUGAGUCACUUGAGCUUGAGCUGGGAUUUAACUCAGGUUCUAUAUGAUUCAAGUUCUAUAUGGUUUUAAAGCUUGUCUCUUUCCAGGACUCCACCAGUACUCUUUUGAGAUGUGCUUAUAGUGUUUGUAGUAUUACUUAGAAAUGUUACAAGGAAAGUUUAUCUUUGAAGGUUGAAUCACUGUCUGACAUAGUGUUUUAAAAGCAUUUACUGUGUAUAAUAAGGAGUUCAACACUGAGUGAAGUAGUAAGUGCUAGAAGGACUUGUAUCAUUAAGACUCAACCCCUUAUUGGAUGCAUGUACAUACAGAGCCCCAGUUUUUCAUGACAAGCAGAUCUGAUGAAACUUACUGAAGUUACUUGCUAACAUUUAGUAUAACUGUGAAGUCAUCAUUAACAAAUUUAAAAGGAAAAGUUACUUAAUGUAAGUGACUUAGCUAAGCCAGUUGUUUCGUCUUGGAAUUGUGAGUAGGAAAAACCUUAUGAAUGAGAGUGAUAUAACUCAAAAGUGCUGUCAGUUAAUUCUUUCUAGUGUAGAGUUGGGGAUUAUUUAAAAUCUAGAGGAGAUUUUAUACUGUAGUUAUCAUUAUUCAUUUUCCUGCCUUUGAUUCUUAGAGAACUUUUCUUAUUUAUUAUUAUUUUUUUUGCAUGGGUCUGUGAACACCUGACUCUAUUGUCUAAAACAAUAUUCCACCAUGUAACCAUUCAGAUUAUUAUCACUGACCCUAAGCCUGCAAAAAAUCACACUGAGGGCAAGAAUUUUUUUUUUAAGUUGAAUACAGCACGUUAUCCAAAUUGUUCAUGAUCCAGAAAAGGUGACUCGCAACAUGUUUAAAGAUGUGUUCAUGUCUGUAUCUAGAAAUCUACUUGUAAUCAAAAAGUAACCACAAGUAUGAAUAAAUUAUCACAAUGAUAAAUAAAAUUUAUCAUUUUAAAAGAUUAUAUUAUGAAUACAAUUUCUAAGGGAAAAAAUGAAAUGCAUGGCCCUACAUGGACAUACAGCUUCCAUAACAUUGCUAUUCCUUAUAUGUUAAUAGUAAAGAGUCUUUUUAACAGCUUUAUUGAGAUAUCAUUCAUAUACCUUAAAAUUCACCCUUUUAAAGUAUACAGUGCAGUAGUUUUCAAGAAGUUCACAGUAUUGUGGAACUUUCAUCACAAGCUACUUGCAGAACAUUUUCAUUAACCCUGAAAGAAGGUACGCGAUAGCAGUCAUUCCUCAUUACCCCCACCCACUUCCAGCCCUGAGUAACUGGUCUACCUUCUAUUUCUAUAGGUUUGCCUAUUCUGGACAUUUCAUAUAAAUACAAUCAUAUAAUUGUGAUUUCUGACUAGUUUCUUUCACGUAACAUGUUUUGAAGGUUCAUGCACGUUGUACAGCAUGUAUCAGCAUUUCAUUCCCUUUAGUCACCAAACAUCCCAUUGUAUGGCUGUACCUCAAAUAACCAUUUGAAUUAAUAUUUCCGUUUUAUGACUGCUGUGAAUAGUGCUGCUGUAAGCAGUCAUACACAAGCUUUCGUGUGGACAAAUGUUUUCUCUUCUCUUGGGUAUACACCAAGGAGUAGAGUGAACUAUGUUUAAAGCAUUUUAAGGAGCUUCCAAAUUGUUUUCCACAACAGCUAUACCAUUUUACAAUUCUGCCAAUAAAAUAUAAGGGUUCCAACUUCUCUACAUCCUUGCCAACAGUUGUCAUUGCCUGUGUGUUGAUUAUAGCUGUCCUAAUGGCUGUGAAGUGCUUUUUCAUUGUUUUAAUUUGUGUUUCUCUGAUGGCUAAUGAUGUUGAGUAUCUUUUUCAUGUGUUUAUUAGUUAUUUAUGUAUAGACUCUUUAGAGAUAUGUUUGUUCAUGUCCUGUGCCUAUCUUUGAAUUGAUUUGUCUUUUUAUUUUUAUUUGUAAGGGCUCUUUAUAUAUUCUGGAUAUAGUACCUCAUCAGAUGUAUGACUUGCAAGUAUUUUCUGUCAUUCCAGUGCUGUCUUUUCACUUUCUUUCUUUCUUUCUUUUUCUAAUAUUUAUUUGCCUGUGUUGGGUCUUAGUUGUGGCACCCAGGACCUUUCAUUACAGCGAGUGGUCUCCCUAGUUGUUGGCAUGGUAUGCAGGCUUAGUUGCCCCACAGCAUGUGAGAUCUUAUUUCCCCAACCAGGGCUCAAAAACAGGUCCCCUGCAUUGCAAGGCGGAGUCUUAACCACUGAACUUCUAGUGGAAGUCCCUCUUUUAACUUUCCUAAUGGUAAAGUUUAUUGCAUUAAAGUUUAAAAUUUUCAUAUUGUCCCAUUUAUCUGUUCUUUCUCUUGGUCUUAAACAUUUACUACAACAUUUUCUUCUAAGAAUUUUAUAGUUUUAGCUCUUACCUUGAGAUCUUGAUUUAUUUUGAGUUAAUCUUUGUAUAGAUAUCCAGCCUCAUUCUUUGCAUGUGGAUAUCCAGUGUUGCAGCACUGUUUUGUUUUGUUUUGUUUAGCACUGUUUCUUGAAAAGACUUUUCUUCCUGCAAUGAAGACUUGAAACCCUUGUUGAAAAUCAGUUGACCGUAACUGGGUUUCAGUCUGGAUUCUCACUUAUAUUUCAUUGAUCUCUAUGUUCAUAUUAUGCAAUACUGGUCUUGAUUAUUAUAGCUUUGCAUUAUGUUUUGAAUUGAGAAAUGUGAGUCCUCCAACUUUGUUCUUUUUCAGGGUGGUUUUAGCUAUUGAGGAUUCCUUGAACUCUAUGCGAAUUUUAAGAUCAGCUUGUCAGUUUCUGCAAAGAAGCCUUGAUAAGGAUUGUUUUCUUCUUUAUAGAUCAAUUUGAAUAUGUCACUGUUUUAACAAUAUUAAGGCUUCCAAUUUAUGAACAGGUGUUUUUCCAUUUAUUUAGGUCUUCAGUUUUCUUCAAAGAUGUUUUUAGGGUACAAAUUUGUACAUUUGUUAAAUUGUACCAAAGUGUUUCAUUUUCUUGAUGCCAUUUUGAAUGAAAUUGUUUUCUCAAUUUCAUUUUUAGAAUAUUCAUUGCUGGUAUAUAUAAAUACAACUGCUUUUUGCAUAUUGAUCUUGUAUUACUUGAAUAAACAAGCAGUAAUACUUGAAGAUCAACAGAGAAAUUACUGUGAACCUGAGUGGUCAGAGAGCACCUCCCAAAGGAAGUGGAGCUGGUCCUGCCUUGUAGGAGUUCUGAGAUCUUAAGAAGGCAGUGAAGAGUUAGGAGCUCAUAUCAGGCAGGGGAAGUGGAUUGAGCCAACACAAGAAACUAUGAGCUAACUGAAAUAGAACAUUCCUUAAAGGCCUCUUGAUAGUUUAACAGUGGAAU